UACAGAGGGUGCAAGCGUUAUCCGGAUUUAUUGGGCGUAAAGCGUUUCGUAGGCGGAUUUAUAAGUUACUCUUCAAAGACUACGGCUUAACCGGAGGAAGGGGAGUAAUACUGUAAGUCUUGAUUUUUGGUGGGGCUUCUGGAACUAAUGGUGUAGUAGUGAAAUACGUUGAUAUCAUUAGGAACUCCAAGGGCGAAGGCAGGAAGCUAACCAAUUAAUGACGCUGAUGAACGACAGCUAGGGGAGCGAAAGGG
rnacentral:rRNA from 1 species